rnacentral:rRNA from 1 species
UGAGGAAUAUUGGUCAAUGGGCGAGAGCCUGAACCAGCCAAGUAGCGUGCAGGAUGACGGCCCUAUGGGUUGUAAACUGCUUUUAUAAGGGAAUAAAGUGAGCCUCGUGAGGCUUUUUGCAUGUACCUUAUGAAUAAGGACCGGCUAAUUCCGUGCCAGCAGCCGCGGUAAUACGGAAGGUCCGGGCGUAUCGGAUUAUGGUUAAGGAGCGUAGCCGGAGAUUAAGCGUGUUGUGAAAUGUAGAUGCUCAACGUCUGCACUGCAGCGCGAACUGGUUUCCCUUGAGUACGCACAAAGUGGGCGGAAUUCGUGGUGUAGCGGUGAAAUGCUUAGAUAUCACGAAGAACUCCGAUUGCGAAGGCAGCUCACUGGAGCGCAACUGACGCUGAAGCUCGAAAGUGCGGGUAUCGAACAGGAUUAGAUACC